UACGAAGGGGGCUAGCGUUGCUCGGAAUCACUGGGCGUAAAGGGUGCGUAGGCGGUUUGGUAAGUCUGAUGUGAAAUCUAUGGGCUCAACUCAUAGUCUGCAUCGGAAACUGCCGGGCUUGAGUAUGGGAGAGGUGAGUGGAAUUCCUGGUGUAGCGGUGAAAUGCGUAGAUAUCAGGAGGAACACCUGUGGCGAAAGCGGCUCACUGGACCAUAACUGACGCUGAUGCACGAAAGCUAGGGGAGCAAACAGG
rnacentral:rRNA from 1 species